rnacentral:rRNA from 1 species
GAUGAACGCUGACAGAAUGCUUAACACAUGCAAGUCGAUGGGGAAGGGGUGCUUGCACCAUGGUAGCCUUGGCGGACGGGUGAGUAACGCGUAAGGAACUUGCCUGCGGGACUGGGAUAACAGCAGGAAACUGCUGAUAAUACCGGAAAAGGUCAUUAAGCUGCAUAGCUUAGUGAUGAAAGGAGACGCCUGCGGAGAGCCUUGCGUCCUAUUAGCUAGUUGGAGGGGUAACGGCCCACCAAGGCGAAGAUAGGUAGCCGGCCUGAGAGGGUGGACGGCCACAAGGGGACUGAGAUACGGCCCUUACUCCUACGGGAGGCAGCAGUGGGGAAUAUUGGACGAUGGGGGCAAACCUGAGCCAGCAAUUCUGUGUGCACGAAGACGGUUUUCGGAUUGUAAAGUGCUUUCAGCAGGGAAGAAGGAAGUGACGGUACCUGCAGAAGAAGCGACGGCUAACUACGUG